AUAUAUAUAUAUAUAUAUAUAUAUAUCCUGCUUCCGCCAAACGGUCACGGAGUUUACAGAAGGAGGCUCGUUAAUCAUUUUGGUUCGUCCAAUGGAGACUAAAGAGAGAAUGUGCCGUAAGCCACUCAAAUCUGGUAUGUGGUUAACUAGCAACAACAGCAAUGGUUCUCGUGUUCCUGUUCGGUCGAAUUUUUUUCUCUCUUUCUUCACUCGGACGCAUCAGAUCCCAUUCAGGAGAAGUUAAAGUUCUAUGGAGG